GACGAACGCUGGCGGCGUGCCUAAUACAUGCAAGUAGAACGCUGAAGGAGGAGCUUGCUUCUCUGGAUGAGUUGCGAACGGGGGAGUAACGCGUAGGUAACCUGCCUGGUAGCGGGGGAGAACUAUUGGAAACGAUAGCUAAUACAGCAUAAUAGUAGAUGUUGCAUGACAUUCGCUUAAAAGGUGCAAUUGCAUCACUACCAGAUGGACAUGCGUUGUAUUAGCUAGUUGGUGGGGUAACGGCUCACCAAGGGGACGAUACAUAGCCGACCUGGGAAGGUGAUCGGCCCAACUGGGACUGGGACACGGCCCAGACUCCUACGGGAAGCAACAGUAGGGAAUCUUCCGCAAUAGACGGAAGUCUGACCGAGCAACGCCGCGUGAGGGAAGAAGGUUUUCGGAUCGUAAAGCUCUGUUGUUAGAGAAGAACGAGUGUGGGAGUGGAAAGUUCACACUGUGACGGUAUCUAACCAGAAAGGGACGGCUAACUACGUG
rnacentral:rRNA from 1 species